rnacentral:rRNA from 1 species
UACGAAGGGGGCUAGCGUUGCUCGGAAUCACUGGGCGUAAAGCGCACGUAGGCGGGUCGUUAAGUCAGGGGUGAAAUCCUGGAGCUCAACUCCAGAACUGCCUUUGAUACUGGCGAUCUCGAGUUCGGGAGAGGUGAGUGGAACUGCGAGUGUAGAGGUGAAAUUCGUAGAUAUUCGCAAGAACACCAGUGGCGAAGGCGGCUCACUGGCCCGAUACUGACGCUGAGACGCGAAAGCGUGGGGAGCAAACAGG